UUAAAAUCUCCCACCAAACUUUAGCCACAAUUUAUAUUCCUAACUCUAGCUGAAUGAUAUCUAAUUUAUUUUACUAAAUUCUUCGUUAUAUUUAAAGUAAUUGAAAGAAAUACAAAACAUCUCAAACUGAAUAACAGUAGCGAAAGGGUUAUUGAGAAGAAAAAAGAAACUAAUUCAUAGCUCUGUUCUCAGGGCACAUACGUAGUAUGUUGCAGGCCUGCAUUUGGGGCCAUAAGAGAAAGCUAAUUAAGUCCUAAUUAGUGGGUUGUUAUUUCAAAACAAAGCAUGAUUAUCAUCAUUGUUUAAUGUCCGCUUUCUAUGCUAGCAUGGGUUGGACGAUUUGACUGAGGGCUGGCGAGCCAGGUGAUUGCCCCAAGUUUCCAAUCUGCAGCCAUCUGGUUCACCAGUCCUCAGUCGAAUCGUCCAACCCAUGCUAGCAUGGAAAGCGGGCAUUAAAUGAUGAUGAUGAUGAUGUUUUUGGUAUACAGGUCAUUUAUCUCAUAUAAUUGUGCUUCACAUUGGUCAAGCAACAUUCUCUGAAUUUCUCCGGGACAGGUGGGGGGAGGGGCCUAUCAGUUAUGUGAGAUGCAAUGCAGCACUAUUUUCUUGGCUUUUGUGUCAGAGCUGUGUAAAACAAGACAAAUAAUACAAAGAACGACCCUUCAUCAGUUGUCGACUGUCUAUCUACUCCCCAUUUCAAGCAUCCAUUUCCAAGUAUAUGUAUAUAUAUAUAAUACUUAUUUAAAAUACAGAGGCCUACUAUGAUCCAUUUUACACAAAAGAAAAUCAUUUGAACAUAAUUAUAUGUAAUUUAAUCAAAGAAAAAAAUAUAUAUGUAUAUAAACACUUUCUUUUGUUUAUGGAACAAGUUAAAUAUAUGGAACAAUAAAAAGCCAUAGUGAUUCUGUUA